rnacentral:rRNA from 1 species
AAUAGAUACCCGGGUAGUCCACCCCGUAAACGUUGGGAACUAGUUGUGGGGUCCUUUCCACGGAUUCCGUGACGCAGCUAACGCAUUAAGUUCCCCGCCUGGGGAGUACGGCCGCAAGGCUAAAACUCAAAGGAAUUGACGGGGACCCGCACAAGCGGCGGAGCAUGCGGAUUAAUUCGAUGCAACGCGAAGAACCUUACCAAGGCUUGACAUACACCAGAACACCCUAGAAAUAGGGGACUCUUUGGACACUGGUGAACAGGUGGUGCAUGGUUGUCGUCAGCUCGUGUCGUGAGAUGUUGGGUUAAGUCCCGCAACGAGCGCAACCCUCGUUCUAUGUUGCCAGCACGUAAUGGUGGGAACUCAUGGGAUACUGCCGGGGUCAACUCGGAGGAAGGUGGGGAUGACGUCAAAUCAUCAUGCCCCUUAUGUCUUGGGCUUCACGCAUGCUACAAUGGCCGGUACAAAGGGUUGCCAAGCCGCGAGGUGGAGCCAAUCCCCAAAAGCCGGUCUCAGUUCGGAUCGGAGUCUGAAACCCGACUCCGUGAAGUUGG